UGGGGAAUUUUGGACAAUGGGGGGAAACCCUGAUCCAGCCAUCCCGCGUGUGCGAUGAAGGCCUUCGGGUUGUAAAGCACUUUUGGCAGGAAAGAAACGUCGCGGGUUAAUACCCCGCGAAACUGACGGUACCUGCAGAAUAAGCACCGGCUAACUACGUGCCAGCAGCCGCGGUAAUACGUAGGGUGCAAGCGUUAAUCGGAAUUACUGGGCGUAAAGCGUGCGCAGGCGGUUCGGAAAGAAAGAUGUGAAAUCCCAGAGCUUAACUUUGGAACUGCAUUUUUAACUACCGGGCUAGAGUGUGUCAGAGGGAGGUGGAAUUCCGCGUGUAGCAGUGAAAUGCGUAGAUAUGCGGAGGAACACCGAUGGCGAAGGCAGCCUCCUGGGAUAACACUGACGCUCAUGCACGAAAGCGUGGGGAGCAAACAGGAUUAGAUACCCUGGUAGUCCACGCCCUAAACGAUGUCAACUAGCUGUUGGGGCCUUCGGGCCUUGGUAGCGCAGCUAACGCGUGAAGUUGACCGCCUGGGGAGUNCGGUCGCAAGAUUAAAACUC
rnacentral:rRNA from 1 species